AUACGGAGGGUGCGAGCGUUGUUCGGAAUUAUUGGGCGUAAAGCGCGUGUAGGCGGUCUUUUAAGUCUGAUGCGAAAGCCCCUGGGCUCAACCCAGGGAAGUGCAUUGGAAACUGGGAGACUUGAAUACGGGAGAGGGUAGUGGAAUUCCUAGUGUAGGAGUGAAAUCCGUAGAUAUUAGGAGGAACACCGGUGGCGAAGGCGGCUACCUGGACCGAUAUUGACGCUGAGACGCGAAAGCGUGGGGAGC
rnacentral:rRNA from 1 species